UACGUAGGGGGCAAGCGUUGUCCGGAAUUAUUGGGCGUAAAGCGCGCGCAGGCGGCUUUGUAAGUCUGGUGUUUAAACCCGAAGCUCAACUUCGGGUCGCAUUGGAAACUGCAAGGCUUGAGUGCAGAAGAGGAAAGUGGAAUUCCACGUGUAGCGGUGAAAUGCGUAGAGAUGUGGAGGAACACCAGUGGCGAAAGCGGCUUCCUGGACCAGUACCGACGUCGAGGCACGAAAGCGUGGGGAGCAAACAGG
rnacentral:rRNA from 1 species